UAGGGAAAAGAGAAAACAUACACUGAUACAAAAGAUAACAUGCACAUAAAUCACUGGUUCAUGGUUUUCCAAUCAGCUUUACAGCCAUAAAUGUGCAGCCAAAGAGACAGUCAGUCACUUCCUCCACCAGCAAACAGCCUCAACACUCUGCACAUCAAGAGAGAUUGCAGCAUCUGAUCAGAAAACUUCACUGUUAAAGCAGGUCGACAACUGAGUCCAACACAUCAUGGAGAACAGUUCCAUCAGUUUGGAAUCCAUCCAGGAGGCAGCAAUGCUCAGAUCAGGUGUUGUCGGAAACCCGUACCUGGCAGGAGGAUACCUGAUAGGAAGCUCCCUGCUGGGCUUCCUCAUCAUCAUCGGGGCCUUCUUGUACAAUCAACGCAAUCUCAGUCUUUUUAAAAGAUCCUGCAUCAUAUCCUUCACCUGCCAGGAAAACAGCCUCAUGGGUCUUCAACUCGUCUACAGCUGUCUGUUGACUCUGCUCACCAUGGAUGCUCUGAAUCUGAUCGUGGCAAUAAUCUUGGGAGCUACACUGGUUGCAUUGUCCUGCGAUGUAAUCAACUGUGUUCUGGCUGAAAACAUCUGGUUCCUGUCCAGGUGGUUUGGAGUGAUUAUUCAUCUUGUGAACGCCUCGUUGUCCAUCUAUAAUCUGCAUCAGCCACUGAGUGUAGCCAGGGUUCGCAUCGCCUACUCAUUGGUUUCUGUGGUGAUUAUCAUUAUGGUCCCACUUUUUCUGUAUGUCUACAACGUGCCCACAUUCACUUUGGCCGCUUUCAUGUUUCUGUUUGCUCUGUCCAUCAUUGUAGCAUCUAGAAGGCCUACCUUGUCCCCGUCCACUUCCACCCUGAAGAAACUGAUCAUGGUUGUUGCAAUGUGCAACUUCCUGGUUGUCUACGUCCCCACUUUCAUUCUUCAGUGCCUCGUGUACACCGCAGCCAAUGUUACCGACUUAGCGAAUUACCAAAAUAUUUAUUUUAAUGUUCUGUAUUUCACAAACCUUCAUCUCAUUUUCGAUGGACUCCAGUGUGCUUUGUUCCUGAAAUUGCCUUCUGGAGAAGAACAGCAACAGCAGCAACAACAACUGCAAGAGUGGCGCCAACAACAGUGGGAGCCACAACAGCAACAACAGUGGCGUCAACAAGAGCAACAACAGUGGCGUCAACAACAGUGGCAACCACAACAGCAACAACAGUGGCGUCAACAAGAGCAACAACAGUGGCGCCAACAACAGUGGCAACCACAACAGCAACAACAGUGGCAGCCACAACAGCAACAACAGUGGCGCCAACAACAGUGGCAACCACAACAGCAACAACAGUGGCGCCAACAACAGUGGCAACCACAACAGCAACAAAAGCUGGGUUUCCAAAAUGCAGGAUUCACUGGUUCUACAAAUGUAUAUCAAUAAUGAUCAAAAUUAUGUCUCUGCACCAUAAAAAUCAAUGUACAUCCCAACCACUGGUGGAUAACCUAGCGUUGUUUCACAAUUCAGAAUUCUUGCUGUCCUCAUGGAUUGUAUCUGUUGGACAGAAGGGUGCAGCUCCUGCUUUAUUCAUAUAAACCCUGAAAUCACAGAUGAAAAUCACCAUUUCACCCUCUCUGUCUGACUUAAAAUCCAGCAUGAAGCAAGAAGAAAUGUGUAAAUACUUCCAUAAUGUACAGGCAGUGGAGAGCUGUAUAAAAUACAGUUUACGGAAAUAGCAGCAACUUUGAAAACUUUUCAAAAUGAAACAUCUGUUCAAUAUGUUGGUUUGUUCAAUUACUUAAAGGCGGAGGGCACAUCUGAAAUAUGUUGUAGUUCCUACAACGUUUACCUGAUCUGGAUGUAAAUACCUUCAAAAUUAAAGCUGAAAGUCUGUAACUAAAGCACAUCUGGAUUGUUUCAUUUAAUGUCUUGGUCAUUUUUUUGGAUUGGAAAGUGAGGGGGCAAUUACUUUUUCACAUGGACAGUGUUUUCUUCAAAAAAAUAAUAAAAUCAAUCAGUCAAUUGAAAACUGCAUUUUUUGCUUUCUUGAGUUUUCUUUGUCUC
ensembl:lncRNA